rnacentral:rRNA from 1 species
GUCAGGAAUAUUGGGCAAUGGGCGAAAGCCUGACCCAGCAACGCCGCGUGAAGGAUGAAGGCCUUCGGGUCGUAAACUUCUGUCGAGAGGGAAGAAUGCGUACGGGUGAAUAAUCUGUGCGUUUGACGGUACCUCCAAAGGAAGCACCGGCUAACUCCGUGCCAGCAGCCGCGGUAAUACGGAGGGUGCAAGCGUUGUUCGGAUUCAUUGGGCGUAAAGCGAGUGUAGGCGGUUUGACAAGUCGGAUGUGAAAUCCCGGGGCCCAACCCCGGAACUGCAUCCGAUACUGUCUGGCUAGAGUCCCGGAGAGGGUGGCGGAAUUCCCGGUGUAGGGGUGAAAUCCGUAGAUAUCGGGAGGAACACCAGUGGCGAAGGCGGCCACCUGGACGGUGACUGACGCUGAGACUCGAAAGCGUGGGUAGCAAACAGGAUUAGAUACCCCAGUAGUCC